UUGAACGCUGGCGGCAGGCCUAACACCUGCAAGUCGAACGGUAACAGGAAGAAGCUUGCUUCUUUGCUGACGAGUGGCGGACGGGUGAGUAAUGUCUGGGAAACUGCCUGAUGGAGGGGGAUAACUACUGGGAACGGUAGCUAAUACCGCAUAACGUCGCAAGACCAAAGAGGGGGACCUUCGGGCCUCUUGCCAUCGGAUGUGCCCAGAUGGGAUUAGCUAGUAGGUGGGGUAACGGCUCACCUAGGCGACGAUCCCUAGCUGGUCUGAGAGGAUGACCAGCCACACUGGAACUGAGACACGGUCCAGAUUCCUACGGGAGGCAGCAGUGGGGAAUAUUGCACAAUGGGCGCAAGCCUGAUGCAGCCAUGCCGCGUGUAUGAAGAAGGCCUUCGGGUUGUAAAGUACUUUCAGCGGGGAGGAAGGGAGUAAAGUUAAUACCUUUGCUCAUUGACGUUACCCGCAGAAGAAGCACCGGCUAACUCCGUG
rnacentral:rRNA from 1 species